GCGAGCGGUCGUGGGAGUCCUGCCUGCUCUGGCUCCGCCCUGGGCCGGGGGGCGGCAUCCACCGUGGAAACAAGCAUCGCAGUACCAGCCCUGAACUUUCACCCGGGCCGUGCCCCUCUGCGCAAGAGCGUCGUUGCCCUGGUGACGUGAAGUUCUUCCGCUGGAUCGUGCUCACCGAGCUGAUAGACGUGCGUCCGCCAUUUUGCGAAUGUCCGGUCACCUGAUGUCGGGUGGAGUAGUCUGUCGGCCUGCUCAAGGGUGUAGUAGGACUCCAACCGCUAGCGUCUCGUCUCGCGGUUUCCUUUAACGACAUCCACACUCUGGCCGUCACCACCCAUCACACCGACGCUGUUAUUGAUGGUUUCUCUUCUAAAUACUGAAGUGACUGAAAUACUCAUGUUGCUGCGUUGUACUCAUCACUAGAAUCUAAGGAUUUAGAUUCCAAAGGAUCUUAACAAGGUAAGUGAAGAAUUAAAAAAUGAGAAUCAAGACUUUUUCUCUUUGUAAUUUUUUUUUUAAUGAAUAGGAAUUUCUGGAAGGUAAGAGUCAUUUGUCCCACAUCUUUGCAUUCCUCACAUUACCUCAUCAAGUGCCUUGCAGUUACCUGUUUUUCAAAAUAAGCAAAUAAAAUGAGGACUAAGAAAAGAAACUUAUAAUAAUUUUAAUGAAUGUGAUAACACUCUUUAAACUAUGUUUAUAUUUCAAACCUGUUGAGGAUUAAGAGGCUUUUAAAAGAAUUUCAGGAAUCAGCAAAUGGAGGAGAAAAGCAUUUUAGGCAAAGGAUUGUUGUUUUCUCUAGAAAUUAUGCCUGCUCUGCUUGAAUUAAGACUGACCUUGUUUAUACUUUUAAAAUAUGAAUUCUGAACAUAUGAUGCACUUUAUUUAGAGUUAUAGGCUUUGCUAUUUGUGCAAAAUUACCAAUUUACCUCAUACUUCAGUAAAUGUUAGCAAGAACGCAGCUUUGUAAAUGAAUGUUAAGGUAGCAGUCUUUUUACUCUAUUUAGCCAGUCUCAAAUCCCCUAAUUCCUUUGUGGAAGUUUCUUCCCAUCAGUAAUCUAGAAUGCUGUCAAAUUUUCUUCUGAAACCAAACCACCAAAAUGUUUUGGUUUAAAAGGCAACUUUGGAUUUCAUUUAUUUUUUCCUUAUCUGCUAUUAAAGAACAGCAGCUACUAAAGAAAAACAUGUUAGACUGAUAAACUUGAAAAGUUUUUGUACUGUGUCUCCUGAACAGCUAGUUAAAAGAAAUAAUGGCUUAAUUUUGUUAUAGUUAUGAAAAUAGUAAUUAGUGUUGAAUCUUUAGAUAAAAUAUAUUUCUCUAACAUAAAGAUUUCAAAUACCCUCUCUAUUUUACUAAUCAUAUAUAGAUGAAUCCCUAGCUUGUGUGUGUGUGUGUGUGUGUGUGUGUGUGUGUGUGUGUGUGUAUGUGUAUGCAUGGUCUAUUCACCAGACCAGGUUGCCUUUGAUAGUAAUCCCUAAAUAGAUACUAAGAUCAUCUACAAAAACAUCAUAGGUUUAAACAUUUAAGUCAAAAUGCAUGAUAUAAUGUAAUGUUCAUUUACUAAUAAUGUAUAUUUCAAGAAGAAAAGUGU